AUCCAGAAGUGUCUGAAGCUAAAUCUACCAACAGUGAGCUCAUUGAUUGAUUCCAAAUUCGAAAGUAAAUCAUCUGUCACCAGGUUACAGUAUUUUUACGAAAAAAUUCAACAUGGGUUAUUUCACCUUCAUUACCGUUCUCGCGUUUCUGAUGUUGAUCCCGGAUUCUGCAGAUUCUUCGUGUAAUUAUCCAUCAACAAGCCGCACUGGAACAUACAGCGACUAUUAUGUUGGUGAAAUGAGCCUGGAUGAUGCAAAGAAUAAAGGAAG